GGGAGUUUGGCCGAGUGGUUAAGGCGUCGUGUUUAGGUACGGCCAGUAAUGGCAUACCAUAAAUCCCGCGAUGGGAAACCGCGCAGGUUCGAAUCCUGCAGCUCUCA